GAAAUUAUUCUCAUUAAAAUGACAAUCUGCAAAGCAAGCUAUAAAAACAUCGUCUGUCAAAGGUUCAAGAUAUCUUAUGAUAGAUGAAGAAUCAAAACCUACAUAAAUCUCAAGUCUUUGUUGGGGACCCAUUUUAGUGCGUUGUGUAGGUGCAAUUGGUACAUAUACUGCACAACCAAAAAUUUGUAAGUGAUAGAUAUUUGGUUGUUUUCCAAGCUUAAGUUGUGAAAUGGAGUAUUCAUGGUAAGCUGUAGGUCGAAUACGGAUUAAAGUUGCAACAUGCAUAAUAGUCCCCAGGCAGAAGUAGGUAAUUUGGUUUUCAU
rnacentral:lncRNA from 1 species